CUGGGUGUCUUCUAUUUCAUUCUGAGGGUAUCAGGAGCCGAGGGAAGGAGAUCUUAAAGAAAAGUAACUUUGUGUUACUACGAAAUUGCCACGCCCCAUUCGCAGCAGCCGUGAUUAGCGAGCGGCGUUUCAAACGCAAUAAACAAAUCUAAUUUAGCAUUGGAUCGAAAAGAAACGCCAAGCGCAACACCUUAAAGUAACGGCGAAACGAGGUCAAAUGUCAAGUAACAGUAAAAAAGCGCGCACAAAAACAAAACUAACACACGAACGCAGCUUACGAAGGAAGAAGAAGAAAAAGAUCCGCAGGUCAGACAUAAUUGCAGGGUUCGUACGGCAAGUAAUAGGACUGAUUUUCUUGCAUCCCGGCUGAACUUCGGAUCGUACGCGCACCGACUGGAUUCGGUAGAGGCCACUCCUAGCUAACGAACGAGCGGCUGGUCAGUUGUCUCCGAGCACAUGGAGAGUCAGGACAAACAUUU